CGGAGUGUAGUUCAGUUGGUAGAAUACACGUUUCGGGUACGUGUGGUCGCGGGUUCGAGUCUCGCCACUCCGACCA
rnacentral:tRNA from 2 species